AGUUUGAUCCUGGCUCAGAUUGAACGCUGGCGGGAUGUACUUUACACACAUGCAAGUCGAACGGCAGCACGGACUUCCGGUCUGGUGGCGAGUGGCGAACGGGUGGAAGGUAAUGUAUCGGAACGUGCCUAGUAGCGGGGAUAACUACGCGAAAGCGUAGCUAAUACCACAUACGCCCUUCGGGGAAAGCAGGGGACCUUCGGGCCUCGCACUAUUAGAGCGGCCGAUAUCGGAUUAGCUAGUUGGUGGGGUAACGGCUCACCAAGGCGACGAUCCGUAGCUGGUUUGAGAGGACGACCAGCCACACUGGGACUGAGACACGGCCCGGGCUCACCACGGGAAGCAGCAGUGGUGGACAAUGGGGGAAACCCUGAUCAAUGCAUCCCGCGUGUGCGAUGAAGGCCUUCCGGGUUGUAAAGCACUUUUGGCAGGAAAGAAACGGCUGGGAUAAUACCCCAUUACGGCAACCCGGUACCUGCAGAAUAAGCACCGGCUAACUACAUGCCAGCAGCCGCGGUAAUACGUAAGUGCAAGCGUUAAUCGGAAUUACUGGGCGUAAAGCGUGCAGGCGGUUCAGAAGAAAAGAUGUGAAAUCCCAGAGCUUAACUUUGGAACUGCAUUUUAACUACCGAGCUAGAGUGUGUCAGAGAGUGGAAUUCCGCGUGUAGCAGUGAUGCGUAGAUAUGCGGAGGAACACCGAUAGCGAAAACAGCCUCCGCAGGAUAGCACCCUGACGCUCAUGCACGAAAGCGUGGGAGCAAGCGGAUUAGAUACCCUGGUAGUCCACGCCCUAAACGAUGUCAACUAGCUGUUGGGGGCCUUCGGGCCUUGGUAGCGCAGCUAACGCGUGAAGUUGACCGCCUGGGAAGUACGGUCGCAAGAUUAAAACUCAAAGGAAUUGGCGGGGACCCGCACAAGCGGUGGAUGAUGUGGAUUAAUUCGAUGCAACGCGAAAAACCUUACCUACCUUGACAUGUCUGGAAUCGAAGAGAUUUGGGAGUGCUGCGAAGACGGAACAGGUGCUGCAUGGCUGUCGUCAGCUCGUGUCAUUGAGAUGUUGGGUUAAGUCCCGCAACGAGCGCAGCCCUUGUCAUUAGUUGCUACGAAAGGGCAUCUAAUGAGACUGCCGGUGGCAAACCGGAGGAAGGUGGGGAUGACGUCAAGUCCUCAUGGCCCUUAUGGGUAGGGCUUCACACGUCAUACAAUGGUCGGGACAGAGGGUCGCCAACCCGCGAGGGGGAGCCAAUCCCAGAAACCCGAUCGUAGUCGGAUCGCAGUCUGCAACUCGACUGCGUGAAGUCGGAGAUCGCCCAAUAAUCGCGGAUCAGCACGUAUACGCGGUGAAUACGUUCCCGGGUCUUGUACACACCGCCCGUACACCAUGGGAGUGGGUUUUGAAAGUAAUUUAGCCUGACCGGCAGGAGGCGAAUGCACGAAGCCAGGAUUCAUGACUGGGUGAAGUCGUAACAAGGUAG
rnacentral:rRNA from 1 species